rnacentral:rRNA from 1 species
AGAGCGAACGCUGGCGGCAUGCUUAACACAUGCAAGUCGCACGGUCGGGGCAACCCGGCAGUGGCGGACGGGUGAGUAACGCGUAGGUAUCUAUCCUUGGGUGGGGGACAACUGUGGGAAACUACAGCUAAUACCGCAUGAUGACUGAGGUCCAAAGGCGCAAGUCGCCUGGGGAGGAGCCUGCGUACGAUUAGCUAGUUGGUGGGGUAAAGGCCUACCAAGGCGACGAUCGUUAGCUGGUCUGAGAGGAUGAUCAGCCACAUUGGGACUGAGACACGGCCCAAACUCCUACGGGAGGCAGCAGUGGGGAAUAUUGGACAAUGGGCGCAAGCCUGAUCCAGCAAUGCCGCGUGUGUGAAGAAGGUCUUCGGAUUGUAAAGCACUUUCGACGGGGACGAUGAUGACGGUACCCGUAGAAGAAGCCCCGGCUAACUUCGCGCCAGCAGCCGC